rnacentral:rRNA from 1 species
AUUGAACGCUGGCGGCAUGCCUUACACAUGCAAGUCGAACGGUAACGGGCCUUCGGGUGCCGACGAGUGGCGAACGGGUGCGUAAUACAUCGGAACGUGCCCGAUCGUGGUGGAUAACGAGGCGAAAGCUUUGCUAAUACCCCCUACGACCUACGGCUGAAAGCAGGGGACCGCAAGGCCUUGCGCGGACGGGGCGGCCGAUGGCAGAUUAGGUAGUUGGUGGGAUAAAAGCUUACCAAGCCGACGAUCUGUAGCUGGUCUGAGAGGAUGAUCAGCCACACUGGGACUGAGACACGGCCCAGACUCCUACGGGAGGCAGCAGUGGGGAAUUUUGGACAAUGGGCGCAAGCCUGAUCCAGCCAUGCCGCGUGCAGGAUGAAGGCCUUCGGGUUGUAAACUGCUUUUGUAGGGAACGAAAAGCCUUCUUUUAAUACAGGAGGGUCAUGACGGUACCGUAAGAAUAAGCACCGGCUAACUACGUG